CCAUGGCAUAUGGAAGUUCCUGGGCCAGGGAUCGAAUUGGAGCCACCGCUGUGAUGGCAGGGGACUGAACCCAGAGACCAUGUUGGAGCCAACCUGCUGCAUCACAGCGGGAACACCUAGGACGGCUUUUUUUAAAAAUGAGAAUAAGAAGUGUUGGCAGGGACACAGAGACAUGGGAACCUCCUACAUUGCUGGUGAGAAUGGAAACCAGUGCAGCCACUCGGGAAAAAAGCUUGGCAGCUGCUCAAAUGGCUGAACAUAGAUUUAACUCUUUGAUCCAGCAAUUCACUCCUGGGUGUAUACUGAAAAGAACCAAAAAAGGUGUUCAGCCAGAUCCUUGUACGGGACUGUUCGCAGCAACACUAUUCACAACAGCCAAAGGCAGAAACAACCCAAAUGUCCACCAAUCGAUGAAUGGCUAAAACCAUGUGAUAUUUCCAUACAGUUCAGUCUUAGCCAUAAAAAGGAACAAACCACUAGUAUUUGCUAUCACAUACAUGAAUCUUAAAAACAGUAUGCAAGUCAGAAUUCUUGGCUCCGCGGUUGGCGAACCCAACUAGCAUCCACGAGGACUCGGGUUCAAUCCCUGGCCUUGCUCAGUGGGUUAAGGAUCCAGCAUUGCCAUGACCUGUGGUGUAGGUCACAGACUCAGCAGGCACAUAUUCCGCGAUGCUGUGGCUCUGGUGUAGGCCAGCAGCUGCAGCUUGGAUUCAGCCCCUAGCCUGGGAACCUCCAUGUGCCUCAGGUGUGGCCAUAAGAAAGACAAAAAGACCAAAAAAACCCACAAAAUUAUGCAAGUGAAAAAAAUCAGAUACAAAAAGACCAGAUAUUGUAUCAUUCCACUUAUAUGAAAUAUUGAAUAUGCAAAUUCAGAAAGACAUAGAGAUUAGCUGUCGCUAGGGGCUGCAGGGAGGGGAAGAUGAGUUACGGGAGUGAGGAAAAGGUUUUGGGACUAAAUAAAGGUGGUGGUUUCACAACAUUGCGACCAUACUAAUGUCCCCUGAAUUGUUCAUUUUAAAAUGGUUAAUUUUUCCUUAUUCCGUUUUUUCUUUUUAGGGCCGCACCCACGGCAUACGGAGGUUCCCGGGUUGGGGGGUCCAAUCGGAGCUACGGCUGCCGACCUACACCACAGCCACAGCAACUCGGGAUCCGAGCCACGUCUGUAACCUACACCACAGCUCAUGGCAACGCCAGAUCCUUAACCCACUGAUCGAGGCCAGAGAUCGAACCUACAACCUCAUGGUUCCUAGUCGGCCUCACCAUGAUGGGAACUCCCCUUUUUUUUUUGCCUUGCCCGAGGUCUACAGAAGUUCCCAGGCCAGGGAUCAAACCUGAGCCACUGCAGUGACAACGCUGGAUCCUUAACUGCCAGGCCUCCAGGGAACUCCUAAAAUGGUUGAUUUAUGUAUUAUUUGAAUCACCUGAAUUAAAAGGAGAAGUGAUCAACUGGAAGCAAAGGCCCUGAGCAAUCCUGAGUGAAACCGGGGCACACAAACCAGCCAGCAGGGCCUGUCUGUGGACAGCUGGGACUUGGGGAUGUGAAAUAGACACGCUAGGGAGUAAGGAAGCUUCCAAAGACUUGUUUUUGGCUGGUGAGAGGGGUUUCUUUUUCCCUUUUUUGGCCACCCCUCAGCAUGUGGAGGUCCAGGACCAGGGAUCAAAUCCCAGCCAGAGUUGGGACCUAUGCCACCCAUAGCUGUGGCAACACUGGAUCUAUAACCCACUGUGCCAGGCCAGGGAUCGAACCUGAGUCCCAGUGGCUGUGAGGAACCGCUGAUCCCACUGGAACAAAGAGAGGUUUGAAGACGUUGGCCUUGGAGUUCCCGGUGUGGCUUGCCAGGUUACAAACCCCACUAGUAUCCAUGAGGACACAGUUCAAUCCCCGGCCCCAGUCAAAGGGUUAAGGAUUCGUCAUUGCCAUGAACUGUGGUGUAGCCUGGGAACUUCCAUAGGCCGCAGGUUCGGGUGUGGCCCUAAAUGGUUAACUCACUACAAAUGAUUGGCUCACAUGUGCCCUUGAGCUAGAGAAUUCCAGGAGAGAGCUGGCGGUCAGAGGGAGGGAAGGCUGCAGUGGGCCCUGCACCAGGGUGCCAGGAACACCUGCCCCGAGGCACCCAGGAGCAAAGGAUUGAGGACCUUGGAUGAAAACACAGGUUAAUCUGGCUCCAGCGCAUCAAGGUGGGGAGGGAAGAAGAGGCUGUAAGGACAGAACUGCCCGGCGUGCCACCCCAAGGGCUCUCCCCUUCACCUACAAGCUUUACCUUUUUGGGGGGCUUUUGAGGGCUGCACGUGUGGCAUAUGGAAGUUCCUGGCCUAGGGGUCGAAUCAGAGCUACAGCUCUCAGCCGACACCACAGCCACAGCCACGCCAGAUCCAAGCCGCAUCCGCGAUCUGUACCAUAGCUCAAGGCAACGCCGGAUCCUUACCCCACUGAGCGAGGUCAGGGAUCCAACUCACAUCCUCAUGGAUCCUAGUCGGGGUCUGAACCCACUGAGCAUGCCAGGAACUCCCUUAAUUUUUUUUUUUUUUAUUAUUUUCCCACUGUAUAGCAAGGGGGUCAGGUCAUCCUUAGAUGUAUACAUUGCAGUUACAGUUUUUUCCCCCAUAAUUUUUUAAGUUUUUUUUUUUUUUUUUUUUUUUUUUUUUUUUUUNNNNNNNNNNNNNNNNNNNNNNNNNNNNNNNNNNNNNNNNNNNNNNNNNNNNNNNNNNNNNNNNNNNNNNNNNNNNNNNNNNNNNNNNNNNNNNNNNNNNNNNNNNNNNNNNNNNNNNNNNNNNNNNNNNNNNNNNNNNNNNNNGUCUGCAACCUACACCACAGCUCACGGCAACGCCGGAUCCUUAACCCACUGAGCAAGGGCAGGGACUGAACCCGCAACCUCAUGGUUCCUAGUCGGAUUCGUUAACCACUGCGCCACGACGGGAACUCCGGUUUUUUAAGUUUUUUAAGUUUUGCAAAUUAAUGCAGGGACCCCGGAGCCGAGGCAGAGGCAGUUGUAUCGUUAGGAUGAUUCGUUAACUUCAGGUCCCUCCUCCUCCCCACAGUUUCCUCCAGCAAGGCUGGCAGGAGGUUCUUUGUCUUUUAUAUGCGAAAGCAACUCAAAAUCGCAAUUAUUCCUCGUGCCACCCCAACCCCCUCAAUGACCGUCUU
rnacentral:lncRNA from 1 species